rnacentral:misc_RNA from 1 species
CAUCAGUAUGAAGUUAUGGAGACCGCGAACCGAAAUACUGAUUUCUCCUGCAUAUCCGCUAUUUUGUCCUGUUUCGCCCUUUCGGUGGUGUAUAUUGCGAGCCUUUACGUAUGGAGUUCACCGUACAAUAGAGAACAUCCAACAACGAUAAAAAAGAGAUUUUUCAGCGUUUUUAUUAUGUCCCUUAUAUCUCCUGCAUCAUUGUAUUUUGGAAUGAAUGAGAAAGUAUUUCAGAAGGCAACAAUUUGGGAAUUAUUGGGUCUACGAUGGCCAGGUUUAUUUCAAGCAAUUGUGAUACCAUUAUUAUUAACAAUGAUACUAUUUCUAGGGCCAUUAAGUGUACAAGGUUUUAAUGGUCUUUGGAGAUUAUAUACUGAACCUAUGUACUGGCUUGGAAGUGUACGAACACUAACAUGGUGGAGAAAUCAAAUAGUUGCACCAUUGUCUGAAGAAUGGACUUUUAGAGCAUGUAUGUUACCAUUGCUUUUGCAAUGCUUUACACCAACAACUGCCAUAUUUGUAUGCCCCUUGUUUUUUGGGGUUGCACACUUCCAUCAUGUAGUAGAUAAAGUUAAGGCUGGCGUGAAACUUAAACAUGCACUUUUUAUAUCCUGUUUCCAGUUUACAUAUACAACAUUAUUUGGAGCAUAUGCAGCUUUUCUUUUUGCUAAAACAGGACACUUAGCAGCGCCAUUUACGGCACAUUCAUUUUGUAAUCAUAUGGGAUUCCCUGAUCUUUCUGAAGUUGUAGCAUUUAAGGAUCCUCUAAAGAGAGCUGGAUUAUUUUCUUUAUUUGUAAUUGGAUUAGUAGCCUGGUGUUUUUUACUGACACCAAUGACAAACCCGACAUUAUUUCAUAAUAAUUUAUUUUGGCAUAAACAUUUUAUAUGAUGAAGUGAUUAACUUGCAACAAUGUCACUAAUCUUACUUAUAAGAUUUGAAUGAAAAUAUCAAUUUAAUUCGAAGCUACGUUAAUUUCAGAUUGCAUGACAUUUAUUAAAAAACAGUUUCUUAUCAAAAGAACAACAAUUGCAGAAAGAUUCGUUUUAUCAAAAGAUAGACGCAUCUAUGCAAAAUAGAAAACGAUUGAAAAAUUAAAACUUUAUUAAGAAUAUUAUUAAUUUCUGAUUAAAUUGUUAAUUUUUGUGUGUUUCGUGAUCACUUUUUCCGACGAGUUUUCUCGCGUCGGUUGAUCGAUUCUCAGAUCGCUAAUUCUAUCCUAGCGAGGAUACGGAGCACAGGAUGUUUAGGCAGAGUCACGUGAAGUUGUUAAAAUAAAAUAAAAGAUAUAACUUUAAACGUUUAAAAAUGGUUUAUUAAACACUUCACACGCACGCUCACCUCGGGACAAUCGACGAAUUAUAACGAUAAUACAAACUGGUUGAAAUUUAGGUUGAGAAUUGCUAACACGUUUGCUUUCGUGAAAGGUUUACAAGGAUCUGAAUUUUAAAAUCGGAACGGCAAUCGUUUGAACCAUCGAUCCGAUCGAUGGCGUUGCGAUAGGGCUAAUCCCGUGCGGGAGGGAUUAGUGCCUGUACGCAGCGACGUAAUAUGGCACAGAAGUGCCUCGGUCGAUUAUUAUUAUCUUUAUUUCGGAACACUGUGCAAUCAAAUUAUCGAGAUAAAAUUAAUCAUGCAAUAUAGAAAUAAUAUAAAUCACCGUAGUGCCUCGAAUUUAAUUAAAUUUACGUAGUUAUAAUCAUGAAUACCAGUAACAAUUUAGACAGUUUUUCUUAAAAUAAUAACGUUAACAAAAUAUUAUGUAGUUAAAAAAUUUAUGACAUUGUUACAAUAAAUGUUGUUUUGAAUACUAAAAAAGUUACUUCUAUAAAAUAUAUCCUCAAAGAUUUGUUAAGAUACAAAUAUACAAAUGUAAAAAUGUUUUCAUUUUAAAAUAAGAUGACUGUAUUCUUAUUACAUGUGUAAAACAUAAACUUACUGUUCAAUUCAAGUAUAUUAACAAAG